AGGGAAUCUUCGGCAAUGGACGAAAGUCUGACCGAGCAACGCCGCGUGAGUGAAGAAGGUUUUCGGAUCGUAAAACUCUGUUGGUAGAGAAGAACGUUGGUGAGAGUGGAAAGCUCAUCAAGUGACGGUAACUACCCAGAAAGGGACGGCUAACUACGUGCCAGCAGCCGCGGUAAUACGUAGGUCCCGAGCGUUGUCCGGAUUUAUUGGGCGUAAAGCGAGCGCAGGUGGUUUAUUAAGUCUGGUGUAAAAGGCAGUGGCUCAACCAUUGUAUGCAUUGGAAACUGGUAGACUUGAGUGCAGGAGAGGAGAGUGGAAUUCCAUGUGUAGCGGUGAAAUGCGUAGAUAUAUGGAGGAACACCGGUGGCGAAAGCGGCUCUCUGGCCUGUAACUGACACUGAGGCUCGAAAGCGUGGGGAGCAAAC
rnacentral:rRNA from 1 species